CAAUAGCGUAUAUUAAAGUUGUUGCGGUUAAAAAGCUCGUAGUUGGAUUUCUGUUGAGGUUGGGCGGUCCGCACUACGUGCGUGUAUCUGCUUCGGCCUUGGCAUCCUCUCGAGGGACGCUACUGUGCUUGACUGCAUGGUGCGGGUUUCGGGACUUUUACUUUGAGGAAAUUAGAGUGUUCACGGCAGGCAAUCGCCCUGAAUAUACUAGCAUGGAAUAAUAAUAUAGGAUCUGAUGCCUAUUUUGUUGGUUUCUAGGCGUGAGAUAAUGAUUAAUAGGGACAAUUGGGGGGAUUCGUAUUAUGGCGUCAGAGGUGGAAUUCUUGGAUUGCCAUACGACGAACUACUGCGAAAGCAUUUCUCAAGGAUGUUUUCAUUGAUCAAGAACGAAAGUAAGGGAUCGAAGACGAUCAGAUACCGU
rnacentral:rRNA from 1 species